AGCGGCCGAACAUCCAUGAAGACUGACGCUCUGGAAACUGGAGACCUCAGCCUGAACCUGACCAACCUCCAACAGUCUGACAGCGCCACCUACACCUGCUCCAUCAGAGACCUUAAAUUUGGCUCAGAGAGACUGGGAGAUGUACAGCUGCAGGUCAAAGAACGGUUUCCAUCCUGGGCCAAAGCUCUCCUGGUUCUCCUGGUUCUUGUUCUCAUUGUCUCUGGAGGUCUUUUAUUUUAUUUCCGGCAGUAUUUCAUGUCAGUUUACCAGGUGGAGGUGGAUUCAGGGGUGGAGUCUGUCCAGCUUAUCUGCAAAACUAUAGUUUGCCUGCCUAAAGAUGCUAAAGUGGAGUGGAAGGACAAAAACAACAGGGAGGUCCAUGUGUAUCAGAAUGGCUCUUACCAGAAGGAAGAACAGCACCAGGUUUACAGAGACCGAACGAAGAUGAAGAAAAACUUAGUUCCUGGAGACCUCAGUCUGACCCUGAAAUACCCCACUGAUGGAGACACAAACACCUACACCUGCACCGUCUACAGCAGGGAGGGAAACAUCCUGCUGAAGAAACAAGUGGAGCUGAAAGUCAGAGUCCUCCAGGUGGAGGUGGAUUCAGAGGUGGAGUCUGUCCAGCUGCCCUUCAAUACCACACUUCACCUGCCUGAAGAUGCUAAAGUGGAGUGGAUAGACAGUGAUGGUUUUAAAGUCCAUGUGUAUGAGAACGGCUCUGACCGGCCUGAGGAACAGGACAAGGCUUAUGAAGAACGAGCAAAAAUGAAUGAAGACCUGCUGAAAACUGGAGACCUCAGUCUGACCCUGAAAUACCCCACAGAUGGAGACAACAGGACCUACACCUGCACCAUCUACAGCAGGGAGAGAAACAUUCUGAUGAAAAGAAAGGUGGAGCUGAAAGUCAGAGUCUGUCAGGUGGAGGUGGAGGAGGGGGUGGAGUCUGUUCAUCUACCCUUCAAAACCUCAAAAAACCUGCCUGAAGAUGCUGGAGUGGGGUGGGAACGUGAAGAGCCCAAACCAUCACUUAAGGUCCACGUGUACGAGAACGGCUCUGACCAGCCUGAAGAACAGCACCAGUUUUACAGAGACAGAACGAAGAUGAAUGAAGACCUGCUGAAAACUGGAGACCUCAGUCUGACCCUGAAACACCCCACAGAGAGAGACAGUGGGAGAUAUGGAUGUGCAGUCAAGAGCAACGGAUGGCUCUACAGAUGUAAAACAGUGCAUCUCAACGUCAAAGGGAGAGUUCAGGUCCAGGAUCAAACAGGGGACAUCAGGAACAGAAGCAGCUCCAUUGAUCCGACUCCUCUGAUGGCUGAUCAAUCAGUUUGAUCUGUGUGUUCUUUGAUUAUUGAUCAGUGAUGUCAGAGUGGAGUCAGUGUGAUGUUGUUGUUGUGUGUUUGAGACUUUUAGUGUCCAUGAAGGUCUCUUCUGCCGUAGAUCCUCUGAACUGUGACAGAGGUCUCACUCUGGAGGAAACUCUCAGCACUUUCCAGCAGCUCCUCCAUCAUGGAGGACGUUCCCUCACUGUAACAGGUGGAGGAGAGAGGAGAGGAAGCACAGGUGGAUCCUCUGAGGAAGAGGAGCGUUCCUACAAACCACAUGAUCAUAUGACCAGAGGACAAGCAUGUGUGGAAACUAGAGAUGGCACGAUACCACUUUUUUAUGUCCGAUACCGAUAUGAAUCCGAUAUAGUGUAUUUAUUAAUCAAUAAAACUGUUUUUUUAAUAUCUUGCUGCAUUUUGUAUAAGUUCAUACUCAAGUUUAACAAACAAACACUAAAGCUAUUCUGUUAUACCUGUAUGCAAAAAAUACACUGCACCCAAAAUAUUUCAUAGUUCAGC
ensembl:lncRNA